GUACUGAUGAAGAGUCCAACACUAGGACGAAACAGUUGACUGUUCAGUAC
rfam:Trichobilharzia regenti genome assembly, scaffold: TRE_scaffold0025625